AGAGGCGUGGGUGUUCGGCUACGUCACUGGGGCCCUACGGUGCCUGGAGCUGGGCAGUCUUCUCGUCAGAGUGGGGACUGGUAAGAGCGACCUCCCCGCCAGGUCCUGUGUGUUGCCAGCCGAAGAAGGGUAGCUGAAAAAUUCAGACCCAGCACAGUGUUUAUGUUGGUCAAAAAUAGAAAACUAUGUCUGGCGCCGCCGAGGCGGGAGGACCCUUCAGGCCAAGAGCAGCCUAGCAACAUGGCGCAACCCCAUCUCUGUAGUCCUACCUCAGCUCCCCCCAGCUGAGGGGGGCUCAGCCCCCCAGCCCUCAAGUAUGAACCCAACGGUUCAAGGCUCCAGUGAGCUAUGAUCCCAUCACAGCAUUCCAGCCUGCGAGAUUGAGGACACAAAGACCAACGAGCCACCACAGCCACCAGUCCCAGAACCCGCUAAUGCUGGGGAACGGAAAAUGAGGGAGUUCAACUCUGGCCCUCACAAUCCAGUGGAGGAGACGAAACUCAUCUGCCUCUGUCCCUCUGGGCACGCCUCAUGCCAGGUGCAUCUGUGGACAGGGGCCAUGCUCCUGGGCUUCCAAAGUUGGAGAAAGCUGCCAGGCUCAGGUCUGAAGGCCAGAAUUCUACAGUAAGUCCUACUGAGUCAAGGUGGGAGCAGGGUCGGUGGCUUCUGAGGCUCUGCGGGAGAAUCCGUUUCCUGGUCGUGGAGGUGGCCUGCACUCCUCAGCUUGUGCUGCCAGUCUCGAAUGACUGGAGUUUCCUGCUUCUGUCACUACACCUCCCACCCUCUCCAUCACCUGCUUUGCUCUUAUAAGGAUCCGGAGAAAUGGAAUAAUUGUAUCGCUCAUCUACGUAAACAAA
rnacentral:lncRNA from 1 species